UACGGAGGGAGCUAGCGUUGUUCGGAAUUACUGGGCGUAAAGCGCUCGUAGGCGGCUUUGUAAGUUAGAGGUGAAAGCCCGGGGCUCAACUCCGGAACUGCCUUUAAGACUGCAUCGCUUGAAUCCAGGAGAGGUGAGUGGAAUUCCGAGUGUAGAGGUGAAAUUCGUAGAUAUUCGGAAGAACACCAGUGGCGAAGGCGGCUCACUGGACUGGUAUUGACGCUGAGGUGCGAAAGCGUGGGGAGCAAACAGG
rnacentral:rRNA from 1 species